UGGUGCUUGUACAGGCAGACCAGGAGGAAGGACAGUCCAGGUGGUGCUUGUACAGGCAGACCAGGAGGAAGGACAGUUCAGGUGGUGCUUGUACAGGCAGACCAGGAGGAAGGACAGUCCAGGUGGUGCUUGUACAGGCAGACCAGGAGGAAGGACAGUCCAGGUGGUGCUUGUACAGGCAGACCAGGAGGAAGGACAGUUCAGGUGGUGCUUGUACAGGCAGACCAGGAGGAAGGACAGUCCAGGUGGUGCUUGUACAGGCAGACCAGGAGGAAGGACAGUCCAGGUGGUGCUUGUACAGGCAGACCAGGAGGAAGGACAGUUCAGGUGGUGCUUGUACAGGCAGACCAGGAGGAAGGACAGUCCAGGUGGUGCUUGUACAGGCAGACCAGGAGGAAGGACAGUCCAGGUGGUGCUUGUACAGGCAGACCAGGAGGAAGGACAGUUCAGGUGGUGCUUGUACAGGCAGACCAGGAGGAAGGACAGUCCAGGUGGUGCUUGUACAGGCAGACCAGGAGGAAGGACAGUCCAGGUGGUGCUUGUACAGGCAGACCAGGAGGAAGGACAGUCCAGGUGGUGCUUGUACAGGCAGACCAGGAGGAAGGACAGUCCAGGUGGUGCUUGUACAGGCAGACCAGGAGGAAGGACAGUCCAGGUGGUGCUUGUACAGGCAGACCAGGAGGAAGGAGAGUCCAGGUGGUGCUUGUACAGGCAGACCAGGAGGAAGGACAGUCCAGGUGGUGCUUGUACAGGCAGACCAGGAGGAAGGACAGUCCAGGUGGUGCUUGUACAGGCAGACCAGGAGGAAGGACAGUCCAGGUGGUGCUUGUACAGGCA